rnacentral:rRNA from 1 species
UAGAGUUUGAUCCUGGCUCAGAACGUACGCUGGCGGCACGCCUAACACAUGCAAGUCGAACGAAGUAGCAAUACUUAGUGGCAGACGGGUGAGUAACAUGUAGGUAUCUGCCCUUUGGCCUGGAAUAACACGAGGAAACUUGUGCUAAUACCGGAUAAGUCUUUACGGAGAAAGCUUUAUGCACCAUUGGAUGAGCCUGCACUUGAUUAGUUUGUUGGUGGGGUAAUGGCCUACCAAGACUGUGAUCAAUAGCUGAUUUGAGAGGAUGAUCAGCCACAUUGGGACUGAGACACGGCCCAAACUCCUACGGGAGGCAGCAGUGGGGAAUCUUGCACAAUGGAGGAAACUCUGAUGCAGCGAUGCCGCGUGAGUGAAGAAGGCCUUUGGGUUGUAAAGCUCUUUCGUCGGGGAAGAAAAUGACUGUACCCGAAUAAGAAGGUCCGGCUAACUUCGUGCCAGCAGCCGCGGUAAUACGAAGGGACCUAGCGUAGUUCGGAAUUACUGGGCUUAAAGAGUUCGUAGGUGGUUGAAAAAGUUAGUGGUGAAAUCCCAGAGCUUAACUCUGGAACUGCCAUUAAAACUUUUCAGCUAGAGUAUGAUAGAGGAAAGCAGAAUUUCUAGUGUAGAGGUGAAAUUCGUAGAUAUUAGAAAGAAUACCAAUUGCGAAGGCAGCUUUCUGGAUCAUUACUGACACUGAGGAACGAAAGCAUGGGUAGCGAAGAGGAUUAGAUACCCUCGUAGUCCAUGCCGUAAACGAUGUGUGUUAGACGUUGGAAAUUUAUUUUCAGUGUCGCAGGGAAACCGAUAAACACACCGCCUGGGGAGUACGACCGCAAGGUUAAAACUCAAAUGAAUUGACGGGGACCCGCACAAGUAGUGGAGCAUGUGGUUUAAUUCGAAGAUACGCGCAGAACCUUACCAACACUUGACAUGUUCGUCGCGACUCUAAGAGAUUAGAGUUUUCGGUUCGGCCGGACGAAACACAGGUGCUGCAUGGCUGUCGUCAGCUCGUGUCGUGAGAUGUUGGGUUAAGUCCCGCAACGAGCGCAACCCUCACUUUUAGUUGCCAUCAUUAAGUUGGGCACUCUGAAAGAACUGCCAGUGAUAAGCUGGAGGAAGGUGGGGAUGACGUCAAGUCCUCAUGGCCCUUACGUGUUGGGCUACACACGUGCUACAAUGGUAUCUACAACAGGAAGCAAAACUGCGAAGUUAAGCAAAUCCCUAAAAGAUACCUCAGUUCGGAUUGCACUCUGCAACUCGAGUGCAUGAAGCUGGAAUUACUAGUAAUCGUGGAUCAGCGUGCCACGGUGAAUGCGUUCCCGGGUCUUGUACACACCGCCCGUCACACCAUGGGAGUUGGUUCUACCUUAAGGCAAGGUUUAAAACCCUUGACCACGGUAUAGUCAGCGACUGGGGUGAAGUCGUAACAAGGUAACCA